AUGAACGCUAGCGACAGGCUUAACACAUGCAAGUCGAGGGGCAGCACAGGUAGCAAUACCGGGUGGCGACCGGCGCACGGGUGAGUAACGCGUAUGCAACUUACCUAUCAGAGGGGAAUAACCCGGCGAAAGUCGGACUAAUACCGCAUGAAGCAGGGGCCCCGCAUGGGGAUAUUUGCUAAAGAUUCAUCGCUGAUAGAUAGGCAUGCGUUCCAUUAGGCAGUUGGCGGGGUAACGGCCCACCAAACCGACGAUGGAUAGGGGUUCUGAGAGGAAGGUCCCCCACAUUGGUACUGAGACACGGACCAAACUCCUACGGGAGGCAGCAGUGAGGAAUAUUGGUCAAUGGGCGUAAGCCUGAACCAGCCAAGUCGCGUGAGGGAUGAAGGUUCUAUGGAUCGUAAACCUCUUUUAUAAGGGAAUAAAGUGCGGGACGUGUCCCGUUUUGUAUGUACCUUAUGAAUAAGGAUCGGCUAACUCCGUGCCAGCAGCCGCGGUAAUACGGAGGAUCCGAGCGUUAUCCGGAUUUAUUGGGUUUAAAGGGUGCGUAGGCGGCCUUUUAAGUCAGCGGUGAAAGUCUGUGGCUCAACCAUAGAAUUGCCGUUGAAACUGGGAGGCUUGAGUAUGUUUGAGGCAGGCGGAAUGCGUGGUGUAGCGGUGAAAUGCUUAGAUAUCACGCAGAACCCCGAUUGCGAAGGCAGCCUGCCAAGCCAUGACUGACGCUGAUGCACGAAAGCGUGGGGAUCAAACAGGAUUAGAUACCCUGGUAGUCCACGCAGUAAACGAUGAUCACUAGCUGUUUGCGAUACAGUGUAAGCGGCACAGCGAAAGCGUUAAGUGAUCCACCUGGGGAGUACGCCGGCAACGGUGAAACUCAAAGGAAUUGACGGGGGCCCGCACAAGCGGAGGAACAUGUGGUUUAAUUCGAUGAUACGCGAGGAACCUUACCCGGGUUUGAACGCAUUCGGACCGAGGUGGAAACACCUUUUCUAGCAAUAGCCGUUUGCGGGGUGCUGCAUGGUUGUCGUCAGCUCGUGCCGUGAGGUGUCGGCUUAAGUGCCAUAACGAGCGCAACCCUUGCCACUAGUUACUAACAGGUAAAGCUGAGGACUCUGGUGGGACUGCCAGCGUAAGCUGCGAGGAAGGCGGGGAUGACGUCAAAUCAGCACGGCCCUUACAUCCGGGGCGACACACGUGUUACAAUGGCGUGGACAAAGGGAAGCCACCUGGCGACAGGGAGCGAAUCCCCAAACCACGUCUCAGUUCGGAUCGGAGUCUGCAACCCGACUCCGUGAAGCUGGAUUCGCUAGUAAUCGCGCAUCAGCCAUGGCGCGGUGAAUACGUUCCCGGGCCUUGUACACACCGCCCGUCAAGCCAUGGGAGCCGGGGGUACCUGAAGUCCGUAACCGCGAGGAUCGGCCUAGGGUAAAACUGGUGACUGGGGCU
rnacentral:rRNA from 1 species